AGAAUCAACGCUGGCGGCGUGCCUCAGACAUGCAAGUCGAACGCGAAAUCCCGAGCAAUCGGGAAAGUAGAGUGGCGCACGGGUGAGUAACACGUAGGUAAUCUACCUUUGGAUGGGGAAUAACAACCGGAAACGGUUGCUAAUACCGCAUAAUGCAGCGGCACCUAAUGGUGACAGUUGUUAAAGCGGGGGAUCGAAAGACCUCGCGUCUAAAGAGGAGCCUGCGGCGGAUUAGCUAGUUGGUAAGGUAAUGGCUUACCAAGGCUACGA
rnacentral:rRNA from 1 species